rnacentral:rRNA from 1 species
GACGAACGCUGGCGGCGUGCUUAACACAUGCAAGUCGAACGGAAAGGCCCUGCUUUUGUGGGGUGCUCGAGUGGCGAACGGGUGAGUAGCACGUGAGUAACCUGCCCUUGACUUUGGGAUAACUUCAGAAAACUGGGGCUAAUACCGGAUAGGAGCUCCUGCUGCAUGGUGGGGGUUGGAAAGUUUCGGCGGUUGGGGAUGGACUCGCGGCUUAUCAGCUUGUUGGUGGGGUAGUGGCUUACCAAGGCUUUGACGGGUAGCCGGCCUGAGAGGGUGACCGGCCACAUUGGGACUGAGAUACGGCCCAGACUCCUACGGGAGGCAGCAGUGGGGAAUAUUGCGCAAUGGGCGGAAGCCUGAUGCAGCAACGCCGCGUGCGGGAUGACGGCCUUCGGGUUGUAAACCGCUUUCGCCUGUGACGAAGCGUGAGUGACGGUAAUGGGUAAAGAAGCACCGGCUAACUACGUGCCAGCAGCCGCGGUGAUACGUAGGGUACGAGCGUUGUCCGGAUUUAUUGGGCGUAAAGGGCUCGUAGGUGGUUGAUCGCGUCGGAAGUGUAAUCUUGGGGCUUAACCCUGAGCGUGCUUUCGAUACGGGUUGACUUGAGGAAGGUAGGGGAGAAUGGAAUUCCUGGUGGAGCGGUGGAAUGCGCAGAUAUCAGGAGGAACACCAGUGGCGAAGGCGGUUCUCUGGGCCUUUCCUGACGCUGAGGAGCGAAAGCGUGGGGAGCGAACAGGCUUAGAUACCCUGGUAGUCCACGCUGUAAACGGUGGGUACUAGGUGUGGGGUCCAUUCCACGGGUUCCGUGCCGUAGCUAACGCUUUAAGUACCCCGCCUGGGGAGUACGGCCGCAAGGCUAAAACUCAAAGGAAUUGACGGGGCCCCGCACAAGCGGCGGAGCAUGCGGAUUAAUUCGAUGCAACGCGUAGAACCUUACCUGGGUUUGACAUGGAUCGGGAGUGCUCAGAGAUGGGUGUGCCUCUUUUGGGGUCGGUUCACAGGUGGUGCAUGGCUGUCGUCAGCUCGUGUCGUGAGAUGUUGGGUUAAGUCCCGCAACGAGCGCAACCCUUGUUCACUGUUGCCAGCACGUUAUGGUGGGGACUCAGUGGAGACCGCCGGGGUCAACUUGGAGGAAGGUGGGGAUGUCGUCAAGUCAUCAUGCCCCUUAUGUCCAGGGCUUCACGCAUGCUACAAUGGUUGGUACAGAGAGUGGCGAGCCUGUGAGGGUGAGCGAAUCUCGGAAAGCCGGUCUCAGUUCGGAUUGGGGUCUGCAACUCGACCUCAUGAAGUCGGAGUCGCUAGUAAUCGCAGAUCAGCAACGCUGCGGUGAAUACGUUCCCGGGGCU